AGUAACGAGAUCCAAGUGGAUCCUGUUGAUGUGCUCCCUGUCAUGACUUAAGAUGGCAAACUCCACCAGCGAACUCGUAAUCAACGUAAACUAUUGUUUAAUGAUACAAUCUCAGGAUUGUUAUAUCUGUAGUCAUUCUAUGUUACAGUGACAAAGACGUCAAAACUAGCUAAGGGCGAUACUGAUGAAGCAGAAGAGGAUGUUAUUGAAGAUGAAAAUAUAUUGAACAAAUCUCAGAGGAGAGCAAAAGCUAAAAAGAGUAAAAAAAGAGGCGAAAAAACAAGAGAAGGAAUUGCCUAAAGAGAUCAUACAAGAGGAGGAAACACCUCAAGCAGCAGUUUUGGUGAUGCCUGUUUUGAGUCUUUCUGAUUUUUCGUUAAAACUUAUUUUUUAACAUGUGAAUGAUUUUUUUUCUUUUGUCAGGCAGAAUUGAACGAAGGACUAUCUGGUGAAGAGACGUUUGAAAAUAAGAAAAACAAACUCGAGGAGUUGGGAAUGCAACUACUUUCUGAUCCUGAGGCAAACAUAAGAACCAUAAAGGAAAUGUAAUACAAAGAUAGUGAAACUUGGUUUGUUAUCUGUGUUGGCCGUAUUAAAAGAUAUAAUUCCUGGGUAAUUUUAUCAGACCUUUUCCCCAUUUUAUCUGCUAAUCAGUCUCUUAACCCCACUCUAUGAUGUUUGAAUUUACAUCUUUGAUUUUGUUGGUGGUGCCAGCUAUUAGAAUAGACUUCCUACAGAAAAGGAGCUCGAGAUGAAGGUCUCAAAGGCAGUAAAGAUUAGAUGGUGCGAAAUUUGACGUUUUGACAUUGUUUUCCCUCGUUUUGGCAACUCUAUGACCCCGUAACAUCUAAAAUGGGUUCCGGUUCUUACUGUUCCUUUCAUCUAAACUUGAUGACAUUGUUCAGGUUCCUGCUGAUUACAAGGGAGUUACGUAUGAACCAGAUGUUAAAUUUUUUGGUUUUGUUUUUGUGGUAAUUUAUAAAUUAUAAUUGUUGCUUUAUUUAUUUUAUCUUUGUGGCUAACCAUAUUUUUUUACAUUAAGCUGAGUAAAACCUCCUAUCACCAAUAAUUUUACUUGGUUUGUAUUUGUUUUAGUAAUUAGUUAACGCUAUUAAUACCAUAUCUAAAAAUAAAAGUAAAACAUACUUCACAUUUUUUUUAUUAUAAAUACUUCAUCUUGAUAAUCUUAUUACUCAAAAAAACAAAAAAAAACAUAAAAAUGAAUAAUUACAUAGUUUUUCUGUUAGUUAUUGGUAUGUGUUCUUGGUCAAGUGAAGCUUGGAUAAAAGAAAACUGCCCUAUAAAUCGUAUAAUGAUUACUAACCAACUCGGUGGUGGUCAAGUAUUGGGAUACAAGUGCAGUAAUUGGCUAUUUCAAAAUUGGGAAGGCGGUUUAAAAACUUUUAAUCAAAACAGAACUUGGGAAUUCGCCGAUGUUACUAAUAGAAGAGAAAGAACAAGGUACGCAUGUGAUUUAUGGUUUGGAGCUCGAAAAGAAUUUCAUUUUGAUGAGCUUGAAAUAUAUCGAGCUGCUGCAAAUACUAGAUGUAAUCAAAUACGUCAAUGGGCAGCUAGACCUGAUGGGAUUUGGUUCAGAAGAGAUCAUGACAAACCGUUAGGCCUUGUCCGCCCCUGGAAGAAAAGAUAGAUAUAACUUCUUCUUUUCCAUUUCCUAAUAUUGAAAUAAUCAGUAAAGAUCUAAUAAUAAUGUGCUAUAUUGUAUAUAGAAAAAAUAUUAUAAUAAUAGUGUAUAAGUUUAAGUAAUACUUAUACAUGUUGUUGUUUCAAGGUUGUAAACAAUGACACAAUAUACUUAUUUUAUAAUAAUUCUUGUUUUGUAACAGAAAUGUCUACAUCUUUAUGUUUUUCUUUUUAGUAUGCAAAAGAAAACAUGUUUAGAACAUCUAGGUACCAACAAUGGAGUUUCGGGAUGUUUAAUCAACGUUAGGCAUCGCUAUUUGAAUCUUCAAUCCCGACGUUAGGGUUCAUGUUCUUCUUCUAUUUCUGAAACCAAAAGUGUUGUUCUUCCUUCUCUGAUACCAACAACGGAAAUUCGAGAUACCAACUAUGGAGUUUCGAGUUGUUCAAUUGACGUGAACCAUCUCUGUGUAAAUCUUCAAUUCUGAUGUUUUGCCUUCCGUUAAAAUCAUGUUCAUAGUAUUCCUAAACUUCAUACCUUUAAUUAACGUGAUUCUGUUCUUGAAUAAGUGUUAUUAAAUUCAUGUUCAUAUGACUAUUAAACUAAUGUUCAUAGUGUUCUUAAACUCAUAUCUUAAUAAUUUUGUAAUUUGGUUGAGGUCAUGUUACGCUGGAGCAGGAAUCUGUUCUUUUCUAAUAUUAAGCCCUUCGAAGAGAAAGGUCUUGCUGAUGAGUGGGACAAAGUUGGGAUGUAUUUCUCAGGGUUCAAUAAGCUCGAUGAUAAUCGAUCCUCUAUGGAAAUUUUAUUUGAGAUUAGGACAAAGGUAUAGUGAAGCUCGAGAUUGAGAUGAUUUGUUCUUUUAAUUUAUUUCUUGAAUAUACGGCUAUAUUCUUCCUUGAAGUAAUUAUGUUGUUUGUAUGUUUAUUUCAGAAAUGUCAAAAGGUUUAUGAAGAUCUUUGCAAAGAGAUGACUCAGCUUCUGACUCGAGAUCAUUUUAGGGAAAAGAGUAAUUGUCAACUAGAGUGAUACAAAAUCAGCCAGAAAUAUAAUGUAAACUCAGUUGAAGAAACUGAUAGAGGAAUAUGCUUUGUUUGAUGA